GAUAAUUUAUCUCUGUGUCGUAGCUAACGCGUUAAGCACUCCGCCUGGGGACUACGGUCGCAAGACUAAAACUCAAAGGAAUUGACGGGGACCCGCACAAGCGGUGGAGCAUGUGGUUUAAUUCGAUGCAACGCGAAAAACCUUACCACUUCUUGACAUGAAGGUUUUAUCUUUCUUAACAGAAAGAGUCAGUUCGGCUGGACCUUACACAGGUGCUGCAUGGCUGUCGUCAGCUCGUGUCGUGAGAUGUUGGGUUAAGUCCCGCAACGAGCGCAACCCUCAUCCUUAGUUGCCAACAGGUAAUGCUGGGAACUCUAGGGAAACUGCCAGUGAUAAACUGGAGGAAGGUGGGGAUGAUGUCAAGUCAGCACGGCCCUUAUGAGGUGGGCUACACACGUGCUACAAUGGCGACUACAAUAGGUUGCAAAACUGCAAAGUUGAGCUAAUCCACAAAAGUCGUCUCAAUUCGGAUUGUUCUCUGUAACUCGAGAGCAUGAAGUCGGAAUCGCUAGUAAUCGUGGAUCAGCAUGCCACGGUGAAUACGUUCUCGGGUCUUGUACACACUGCCCGUCACGCCAUGGAAGUUGGCUUAACUCGAAACUAAUGUGCUAACCGAAA
rnacentral:rRNA from 1 species